GUCUUGCCAACGAUGUUCCUGAAGCAGAGAGGAGGUGAUGGUGUGGAAACUGAAGUGCUUGAGGAAUGGUGUCAAGGAAGCUGAGCAGCCACCCACCUGGACAAUAACUUAUCCUACAUGUCGCCUGCUGGCAGGAGAGCAAAAGGGUGUGGAGACAGUUGCCCGAUUCAUCGAGGAAGAAGGUCAUCUAUGCAGACAGUGUUGAGAGGUGACCCUAGGGUUACUUCUGCUCAAAUUUCAGACAUGGUGGAGAAUCCACUCAAAUUUGCAAAAAGCAUUCCUGAUCUCCCUCCCAGUCUCAUAAAGGUAAGGCUGGCGCAUCUAGGCUGAAGUGGUGGGGUCUAUUCCCAGAAGGCUCCCUG
rnacentral:lncRNA from 1 species